GUCAGCUGCACGAGAGAGAGAGAGAGGCGCGCGGCAUCUCGUCUCAGAUAUGAACUCUGUCAGUUAGUGUCAGCCGUUAGGGUCGGUUCCGUUCAACAGCGACCGUGUGUCCCGGUCUCCGGUGUGUAGUGAAGAACCGGAGGCUGUUGUUACUAUCAGAGCACCGUCACGGUUCUGUGUGUGCGUGUGAGCCUCCCCAGCGGCUGUAACUCUCUAAAGUGACUGACUGUGUGUGUUGCUGGUUUCUUCCCUCCAUCUACUGACUCCCAUGGCUCCGGGAACUGUCUAAUUCUGGAUCUGUCAAGCAGGAAUAGGACAGGCCCAGACAGAGAGAGAUGAGCUGGGCUGAGGAAGACUGGACGGUGGGGCUCUCUGGACGGGUCCUGCAAAAGGUGAAGGAGCUGCAGGUCCAUCAGGAGCGACUGUCCAGAGAAAACAAGCAGAAACAGCUGCAACUGGACAACAUCCAUACGAGCCUAGAAAAACAGACUGGGAAGUAUGAGGAGGUCCGUGGGGAGCUCCAUUGUGUGCAGAGGGAGCUCCAGAGUCUUCAAGAGGAGGCCAAGGCAGCAGUGACCAGCAGCAAGCGUCUGACUCAGGAGCUUCAGACCAAGCAGGCCCAAGUAUGCUCUUUGGAGGGCCAGGUAGAAGCUGCUCGCACCUCCAACAACAAACUCACCCAGGAUGUAAAAAGGCUGGAGGCAGAGCUGGAAAAGCUGCAAAACAGCAGCAGAUCGGCAGAUACCACUCUGUUUUCUACACCCUGCUGGAAUACAACCUCGCCCUGGGAACACAAUGCAGGAAGCAGAAAGGAGGAGAGGCCAGGGCAUAGAGAUGAAGGACAGAGCUGGGCGCUUCACAGCCGACGCCUCCAGUUCUCCGAAGGGGGCUCAGCCUCAUCACCACAACAACACAAGAACACACCCCAGCGUCAUUCGUCCGACCAAUCGGACACCUUCUCCACUCCCUUGGCUGCGUUUCCGUGGGAACGGGAUGACUCGAGGCCAGCCGCCAGGAGACCAUCCCCUAUUUCUCCCCAAACACCCUGCGCUGAUGUCAUCAGUCAAGGCCAAUCAAAGCCGAGGCUUUGUGGGAAGGAGAUGGACCAGAGGACAGAAACAGAUGCAUCUUUAUCAGAAGUAUGGAGUCGUGUGGCUGCUCUGGAAGAGGAGCUGCGUGCGAAGGCCGGGACAUUGAAGUCUAUUCAGAGCGAAAUGGUGCAAAACAAGAAGGAGCUCGGCGCCCGGGAGCUCAGCCUCCAAAAAGCCCGCGACGAGCUUAGCCAGGCACACGCACGCACGGCCCAGGAGAGUGAACGGGUGUCAGGAGCUGAGCAAAAGCUGAAGCAGCUACUAGAAGAGCUGAAGUGUCAGAGGCAAAAUGCAGAGAGCAGCCGACUGCAACACCAACAACGCUCUAAAGAGCUGGAGAAACAACAUCAGAGGGAUUUGACAGAGCUUCAGAAGGAGAGGCAGACUCUGGAGAAGCAGCAUCAGCAGGAGGUGAAUAAGCUAAACCAGGAGCUCCAGCAGGCCAGGACACUCCACAAUGCCCUGCAGGCCCAGGCUGACAAGCUGUCUCUACAGAAACAGGCGUUGGACAAAGAGUUAGACACUCUGAAGGAGAAACUAAAGUGGACGGAGGGACAGCUGCAGGAGAGCCAGAAGAAGGAGGCACAGACACAAGCCAAACUGACGGAAGCGCUGCGUGAGGCGGAGGGUGUGGCGGUGAGUCUGGAGCAGAGCAGGAAGAGAGAGCGAGCUCUGGAGGAGGAGGGGAGGAGACUGGCAGAGGAGCGAGCUGACGCCCUUCGUCUCCUCAAGGAACUGCAGGAACAAAAAGCUGUCCCAGCACCCCCUCUACAACCUGUCCAGUUCUGCCCUGUCGGACAGAGUUUCUCCCCUCAACCUUCUUACUCUCCUCAUUCUCGACCAUCAACUCACAUCAAGAGGCCCAACGCCACCACCCUAGCUGAGCAGAAGAGGGAUGAGGACAUGGAUGUGGAUAAGAGAAGGGCAGAGAUUGCAGCAUCUUACCCCUCUGACAGAGAGCCAGGAGAAGGCAUCGACUCAGAACACAUCGCUGACCUUAUCUCCCCAGACUCUGAGUUUUUAUUAAAGGGAGGACACGAGGAGGAUAACAAAAGUAGAAAUGAGGCGAUAGAGGGUGACAGCUCUGGGACAAACAAGCACUCCACAUUUGAUCAAAUACUCUCUAGUUCCUCUCACUCUGCUGCUGGUACGCCCACCAACACCUCUGUGGAUGGGGAUCGUUGCAGGCUUUCCUCUCUCAAGGCCUCUGAAGACCUCAAGAGAGAAAACGCCACACUGCGUUCAGAUUUACACGAUGCACGCGAAGAACUGCAGAAACGACUUGAGGACCUGGAAGCCCAACGACGGGCCGAGACAGAAGCCAGGACACGACUCAAACAACUCGGCCGCAAACGUGCCAGCCAGGCUGUGGAGAAGGACGAGCAGGGCAAGGAAUUGAAGGCACAGCUGGAGAGUGAGAGGGCUGAGACAGAGAGGUUGAAGAAGGCCAUGGCUGCUCUGGAGACAGAGAUGAAGAGAGGAAGCGAGGAAAGAGAACGGAAGGAGAGAGAGGAGCAGGAGGAGGAGAAAAACAAAGCACUAGAGGACCGGGAGAGUGAAAUGAUAGAACUUAACAUCCAGCUAAAGAAACAUCUAGCAGAGGUGAAAGCCCAGCUGGCUGUAGAACGAGAAGAGAGACAGAGAGAGGAAGAGGAGAGGAACCAAAUAACAAACACAGACAUAGAUGUAAAGAAAGAGCUGAGCACAAAAAUGGAACAUCUUAAAGCUGAAUUGGAAGAACUGAAGCGCAGCAGAGAAGAAGACUCAUCUGGAGAGGAGAAACUCUCAGUUGCCAACAGCCCGCUGACGUACCUAACUCUCCAUGAUGAUGAGCUCAACUCCAACAUCAUUUGCUUCGACAACAAGCUCCCCUCUUCGCCAGAGCAGCACCUCCUCUUCUGCCAGUCCACCAACCAACGCAACAUGCUUGUAUCUCAGGCCACAGCAGAUCUCAUCCAGGAAGCGCGAACAUUGAUAGAUCCUGAACGCUCACCUCUGUCAAAUGAGGGACAAACAGGUGGAGAGGCCUCUGACCUGGAAGACUACAGACAAAACUCUCUGUUAGGAUCUUCCCUGUCACUUUCUGACCUCCAGAACGUUGAGCCUGCCUCUUCAGAGCUGACAAAAGAGGUAGAGCACCUGCAGAAGGAGAAUACAAAGGAGACAGAACGUGCUAACCAGUACCAGGUUAAACUGGAGGCCCUGCAGAACCAGGUGACACGUCAGACAAAGCAGCUAACCAUGGCCUUUGAGAAGCAGAGUCAGCACAUCUCUGGACUUCUAGCUGAGCUGCAAGAGAAGGAGAGGGCCCUCCUCAGCCAGGGAGAGGAACUGCAGCGCUACAAGCAAGAGCUGGCUGCACCCAAAGCCGAAAAAGAGGGAGAGGAGGAGAUGACGGUCAAAGAGGUGGAGGAUGGAGAACAAAAAGAAGAGACACAAGAGGAGAUGACGGUCAAAGAGGUGGAGGAAGGAGGACAAAAAGAAGAGACACAAGAGGAGAUGACGGUCAAAGAGGUGGAGGAUGGAGGACAAAAAGAAGAGACACAAGAGGAGAUGACGAUCAAAGAGGUGGAGGAUGGAGAACAAAAUGAAGAGACACAAGAGGAGAUGACGGUCAAAGAGGUGGAGGAUGGAGAACAAAAAGAAGAGACACAAGAUGAGAGGCCGGUGGAGAUCUCAGGGCUUCAGUCAAACCAGGAAAAUGAGUGUGCUGUCACCGUACUCACUACAAACUCACUGGCAGAAGGUGACUCCAAUGUACAGAGAGACGCAGGUCAACUAAAGGUUGUGAAAUCUGAUGCUGAAAGACCCACAGCUAUUAUUGACAAAUCAGACAAUGAAGCCCUACGGUCAGGGGAACAGCAUCUAGGCUCUCAGGUCAAGACUCAGAGUAACCAUAACUCUGCUUGUGUGAAACGUGAGAUGGAGUGCAGUCAAGAUGGAGGAAUGGCAGAUGUGGUUGCAGAACUGCUCGCUCUCCGACAGGAGAAUCAGCUGCUGAAACAAAGAAAAGAGGGCUUGACUGUCUCAGACGCCAGGACCCCAGCAUUACACACUGACAGCGAAAACCAAGAAGACCCAAUCAAGCAAAGCCAAAACACAGGAAAUGCUGCUCUGUCCUGCUUCGCGGAGCUGAGGUCACCUAGUUUGCUGAAUGACGUCACCACUGACGCACGGCAGUCACCGCUGCAGGAUGUGAAGAGGAGGGAAGAUGAAGGAGGAGAUUUAGAAAAGGAAGAUGGGAAGACUACGGGGACUGAGGAAGAGCUGGAUUUAGUGUCUGAGUUUCACAUCAAUCGCCUACAGCAACAGGUGGAGGAGCUGCAGAUGAGGCUACGAGCUCUCUCUGCGGAGACCCAGCAGCAGGCCGAGGAGCUUGUUAUGUGGAGACUGGCCUCCCAAACAGCCCCAACAUUUGACCAGUUCCUUCCCAACACAGACAACAUGUCUGAGACCCAGGACCAGGUCUCUGCUGUCAGACAGUCCCAGUCCAUCCAGCAAGAGAGCCCUGGUAAUGUGACAGUCGUCAGAGAAGAUGAGUUAUUCCUCUCCUGCUUCUCCAACAAACUGCAGGGCCGCAUGUUGUUCUCCAGACUUCAGCACAGCAACCUCCCUGAACCAAAGAGUCUCCAUCCCUCUAAAAAGACUGCAGCUCUUCAGGAAUACAAUCAGACUGUCCAGGAAUCUGAAAAGGAAAACCACGAGAUCAGCCUCUUGCCUCAGUCAAAUACCUGUCAAACACAACACAAAGAGAAGAGAGACACUGUUAUCCAAAUAUCAUCUGAGAAAACGGGUCAACCACAUGCCACCAAAGAAUCACACAAAGUCUCAAAACCAAAGCAGACCAGAUCAGCUGAGUGUGACACGGGGAAUUCUGAGGUCACACCAGAGGCUUCCAAAGCAACCAAUGAAAUAAACACAACCAAUGAUCCCUCGGACAGAGAUCUCAGGACAGAAAUGAAAAGUGUCAGCAGUCAAACAGAGGAGAGUUUGUAUCCUUGCAGUGCUCGAUUAACCUCUGAACUCCGCUGUUCAUACACACAGACUGAGGAGGAGGAGGAGGAGGAGGAAGAAGAGUUAGUGGAAUCCCCUCCUGUCUCUCCUUUCCUAUCACCUGAGGGUGCAGAGGUAGGAGACAGAGUGUUGUUUUCGGGUUCCUUCCCCAUACCGGCUGACCCGGCCCGUCUGGCUGAACGAAUCCGCCGUAACAGGACGCAGCUGUCAGCCGCCUUUGACGACACAGAGUAUGAACCCUAUGGGCUGCCGGAGGUCGUCAUGAAAGGUUUUGCUGACAUCCCCAGUGGUCCUUCAUGUCCGUACAUUGUGAGAAGAGGUUUGUUAGGGACAACUGCCGUACCUGUCCCUCAGAAAGACACGAAACAGGAGGAGGAGGAGACUGAUUAAAACACACAGGUAACCUCAAGAGACACUCAGAAAACUGCUGCAGAUUUUAUGUCUCGAGAACUAAGAAAUGCAAAAGAUUUGGUGGAAAGAAGUGAUCGCUCUGGCUUGACGAUGGACCUCAGUGAUGGACGACAGCAGCUAUACAGGGACACUCCAGUCACCAGCAACCAGUUUAGAAAGUGCUGCUAUCACGCAUGGACUUCUGUAUGUGUGUGCAGGUAACUGGGCCUGCACUGGCAGAAUAAACACUCACUGUGGAUAAAAUGUCUUAA